CUGGCUCGACAGAGUUGGCUAAUCUUUUGAACUUGCAUCGUGAUAGGGAUAGACGAUUGCAAUUAUUCGUCUUGAACGAGGAAUUCCUAGUAAACGCAUGUCAUCAACAUGCAUUGAUUACGUCCCUGCCCU
rnacentral:rRNA from 1 species